UACGAAGGGGGCUAGCGUUGCUCGGAAUCACUGGGCGUAAAGGGUGCGUAGGCGGGUCUUUAAGUCAGGGGUGAAAUCCUGGAGCUCAACUCCAGAACUGCCUUUGAUACUGAGGAUCUUGAGUUCGGGAGAGGUGAGUGGAACUGCGAGUGUAGAGGUGAAAUUCGUAGAUAUUCGCAAGAACACCAGUGGCGAAGGCGGCUCACUGGCCCGAUACUGACGCUGAGGUGCGAAAGCGUGGGGAGCAAGCAGG
rnacentral:rRNA from 1 species